UGCUCUUUCGAAUCGCUGCAUCACUACCGUUCAACUCCAGACCUUCCACACCCUCAAGUAAAUAAGAUCUAAUCAGACAACUGAUUCCAGAAACAUAAAGCCAUGAUAAGAAUAAUUACUUUGAUCACGGAUGCGUCCAUGGCGACAGACUGCUGCGCUAGGUUUUUCGAGAGGCGAUAAAGAUAUUUUGAAUUUUUUUGGUCUUUAUAGAGAGAGUCUCGACUUUAAUUGUUAUUCUGGUUUUGGGCCGUAACCGUCCUGCUCGUUGGGUCUUAAAUUUAUUCUUCGACUUGUAGUAUUAAACAUAAUCAGACUUGGAGAAAAUUACAAAAAAAAUUAACAUAUAGCAAUUGUUAAUAACAUGCUUUGUACAUUAAAUUCAAGGUUUAAAGAAUAGCUUCGUAGCUGCCAGAAACCAAGCCCUGCUAAUCAAACUCUCAUGUGUUUAACACUGAUUUUUUUUUUAUCAAAGUGUUUUAACACUGAUUAGUUUCAUACUUUUCAUUACAAAAGCUAAAGCUGGACUCAAGACUGAUCUUUCAGUUCAAAUCAGGAAAUGAAGACUUUCCAAAACAAAACACAAAGAAGAAGCUAAAACCGCUUAUCAGUAUCACAGAAGUUCCACGAGGGAAAAAAGGAACUUCGAGCUCCGAUAGUUUGGACUCAUUUUGGCAAAAGAGUUAAAAG